rnacentral:rRNA from 1 species
UACGUAGGUGGCAAGCGUUAUUCGGAUUCACUGGGCGUAAAGGGUGCGCAGGCGGCCGAGUGUGUGAGGCGUGAAAGCCCGGGGCUUAACCCCGGAAUUGCACCUCAAACUACACGGCUAGAGCAUUGGAGAGGGUAGCAGAAUUCAUGGUGUAGCAGUGAAAUGCGUAGAUAUCAUGAGGAAUACCAGAGGCGAAGGCGGCUACCUGGACAAUUGCUGACGCUCAGGCACGAAAGCGUGGGGAGCAAAAGGG